rnacentral:lncRNA from 1 species
CGGCGAAGCUGACGACGGAGAAACCACGGCGAAGCUGGCGACUCGAAACCACGGCGAAGCUGAUGACGGAGAAACCACGGCGAAGCUGGCGACUCGAAACCACGGCGAAGCUGACGACGGAGAAACCACGGCGAAGCUGGCGACUCGAAACCACGGCGAAGCUGGCGACUCGAAACCACUUCCCCGAGCUGACGGCUGGACCAGGAAGGCAGUCUCGGUGACCAGGAAGGCAGGUACUUUGGGAAAUUGGGAAUGGGUCGGUGACCAGGAAGGCAGGUACUGGAGGCUCGAGACUUCGAGAGGAAAUGACUCAAAUGAGGAUUGAGGAAUGAGUUUAGGGUUUAGGUCACAAAACCGAUCGAAAGGAGAACUGGAGGCUCGAGACUUCGAGAGGAAAUGAGGAAUGAGUUUAGGUUUUAGGUCAAAAACCGAUCG